rnacentral:rRNA from 1 species
AGUGAACGCUGGCGGCAGGCCUAACACAUGCAAGUCGAGCGGCAGCACGGCAAUAGCAAUAUUGUGGGUGGCGAGCGGCGGACGGGUGAGGAAUGCAUCGGGAUCUACCCUGUCGUGGGGGACAACGUAGGGAAACUUACGCUAAUACCGCAUGAUCUGGAGACAGCAAAGCCGGGGACCUUCGGGCCUGGCGCGAUGGGAUGAGCCGAUGUCCGAUUAGCUAGUUGGCGGGGUAAAGGCCCACCAAGGCGACGAUCGGUAGCUGGUCUGAGAGGACGACCAGCCACACUGGAACUGAGACACGGUCCAGACUCCUACGGGAGGCAGCAGUGGGGAAUAUUGGACAAUGGGGGCAACCCUGAUCCAGCCAUGCCGCGU